rnacentral:rRNA from 1 species
CCAAGUCUCUUGCCGUCUGCCGGCCCCUUUAGCGUUACCGCAAAGCACGUAUUUGUUGCCGUAUUUACUGAGCUAGUGCCUUUGAAAAGAAAAAGAGANGACAACUUUUGACGGUGGAUCUCUUGGCUCGCGCAUCGAUGAAGAACGCAGCCAGCUGCGAUAAGUAGUGUGAAUUGCAGAAUUCAGUGAAUCAUCGAAUCUUUGAACGCAAAUGGCGCUCUUGGGUUCUCCCAGGAGCAUGUCUGUCUGAGUGUCGGAUUGUACNCCAUCGCGGUUGGACCGUUUCCACGGCAGCCGCGGCGUUGAGGCGACACGACGCGUUCCCAGGUUGGUCGUGUCUCUCGAAACCGAGCGUAGCCCCGUUGCCGCAGCGGUCGCGUCCGACUCUGUCCGCCAAAAAGGGGAGGCUUAAGGCUGACCUUUCCCUGGACGGAGGAGGUCCGACGUGGCGAGGGACGGAGGCCAACGAGAGAGAAAGAGAAAGAGAGCAAAGGCAGUGAAAAGGCAUCUUGACCUCAGAUCAGGCAAGG